UGCUCAUAUAUUGAAAAGGGUUGGUAGUGAUGCAAAGAACAAAAUAUACAUUUGCCUAAAAUCCGGUCUUUAGUGAUGAUGACGAUGAUUUUUUAUUGUCAUCUUCAAUAGUCACUAGUCAAAUAGUCACAGUCAAAUAGUUAACUAUCCUGCUUGAGCUGGUCAGGGGCGGCUUUCACGAACAUUUAAUAACGAAAAUAAUAACGAAUUUAAGAACGUGUUUUUAAAUGUUCCAUAGACAACGCCUAGUCCGCACAAGAACGCGUUUUCGAAAAUAUUACUAAACGAAAAUGCACGAAAGCGUUAUACAGCUGUUAAACGUUAUGUUUCCCAUUAUCCAGAGAGAACCGUAUGUGACAUCAAGCUCAUAUUCAGUAAAAGUAGGGGCGAUAUUGGCGGCAGCUGUGGGAAAAGUGUAACGUUUAUAGCUUGAUAACGAGCUCUGUAAAUAAUUACUGAAGCAUCGUUUCCUAUUUUAGAGCGUCGUACGAGGUUAAUAGAAAGCUUACCGGGUGUCCUCUGUCUACUAAACAAGCUACCUUUAUAUUCAUAUAAAUAUUAUAUUAUAUUUGGUGGAAAUAAGGGGCAUGGUAUGAGUGAUGUGCAUGCGAAGCUCAUAUUGUGUGGCUUAAUUACGGCCAUUUCAGUACACUGAGUACGGAAGUACUCCGGAGAAUUCUGGUUGUCCUUUACGAGCGGUACAGAAUUUAGCCCAUAGCUCCGUGAAAACUAUGACACUCACUGAGAUCAAAUCUUGUUAAAAAAAGAAUGCGGGGAACAUUAUGGCCUAUGAGCAUGCGAAGGUAAAUAUGAAAGGCGCAUGACUUACUUCCUAAAUUAAGCGGACUCAACGUAGGCACCAAGGUAUUCCACUGGAUUAAAUAUUUUCUUUCUGACCGCACCCAGUAUGUGACUGCUCACAACUGUUCGUUUAAUCCUGUCUCAUCCGGUGUCCCAUAAGGAUGUCUGUUGGCACACUCGCUCUUUCUCAUUUACGUUAACGACCUCGCUGGGUGUAUCACGUUUUCAUCAAUAAAUCUCUUUGUCGACGAUUGCGUCCUCUAUAGAAAAUCUAGCACAGCCCUCUGAUUAGCAGAAACUUCAAGAAGAUCUUAACCAUCUGUCCUUACGGUGCAAUAAAUAGAUGAUGUGGCUAAACAUCAAGAAGUGUAGAAGCAUGCGAAUCUCUCGGCAGGCUCGUACUAUUAGUAGCGAGUUUUUUUUUUUUUUUUUUCUUGACGGUAUUCUACCACAUCCGGUGACCUCUUACAAGUACCUCGGCAUCCACAUCAGUUGGGAUCUUUCUUGGCGCAAACAUGUUGACUAUAUUACUAACAACGCAAACCGUACACUUGGUUACUUACAACGUAAUUUUCCCCAGUAACCUUCGUCAUUAAAACUACAUCACUACAAAACGCUUGUUAGCCCUAAAUUAGAUUACGCAUGCGCUAUCUGGGACACCAAAAACAGUACACUUUCAGCAAUGAUUGAAUCCGUCCACAAUCGCGCAGCUCAUUUUAUUGAUCAAAUUACUCUCGGCAUGCCACCGUAUCAUCAAUGAAAGCAACACUUGCCUUACCUGAACUAUCAUUGCGCCGUAAAUGCUUUCACCUUUCUUUAUUCCUAAAAAUCUAUCAUUAUAACCCGAAUCUAAAAGACGUUCUUUUUUCCGCUCCCGUCUAUGUGUCAUAGGGGUUCAGAUCAUAACUACAACGUUGGUGGGCCAUCUUAACGGAAUAAUACCUACAGCGAAUUUUUCCUUCCGAGACAAGCAAAGAAUGGAACAAUCUUCCCGCUUCCAUCGCCGCCAUCACCGACACCGACAGCUUCAAAAUAUCCAUUCAUAAAGCCGUUUUUUAACAUGUUUUCUUUACUUGCAAUAAUUGUUUUCUUUUCCUUUUACUGUGCAAACAAUUGUCAUUUACCGCUCCUUCCUGUAAUGCCCUCGAGCCUUGAAAGUAUGCUACAACAUUUAUUUAUUUAUUUAUUUAUUUAUUUAUUUAUUUAUUUAUUUAUUACGGAUCUUGUAAAAGAUCCUUGAGUAGAUGCUCGAAAGCAUUAUACGGUAGUUGAACAGUCGCGCAGUCAGUGGCGGGAAUUUGGCACGAUUUCAUCAUCAUCAUCAUCAUCAUCAUCAUCAUCAUCAUCAUCAUCAUCAUCAUCAUCAUCGUCAUCAUCAUAUUUUAUGACCACUGCAGGACAAAGGCCUCUGAUCUCCAAUUACCCCUGUCCUGCGCCAACCGAUUCCAACUAGCACCCGCAAUUUCCUAAUUUCGUCGCACCAUCUAGUCUUCUGCCGUCCUCUACUGCGCUUCCCUUCUCUUGGUACCCAUUGUGUCACCCUAAUGGUCCAACGGUUAUCUAACCUGCGCAUUACAUGACCUGCUCAGCGCCAUUUAUUUCUCUUUAUGUCAAUUAGAAUAUCGUCUAUACCCGUUUGUUCUCUGAUCCAAACCGCCCUCUUUCUGUCUCUUAAAGUUAUGCCUAGCAUUCUUCGUUCCAUAUCUCUUUGCGAGGUCCUUAACUUGUUCUCAAGCUGCUUUGUGAGUCUUCAAAUCUCUGGCCCAUAUGUCAGCACCGGUAGAAUGCGCCGAUUGUAUACCUUCCUUUUCAAUGAUAACGGUAAGCUUCCACUCAGGACCUCACGAUGUCUGCCGUAUGCGAUCCAACCCAGUUUUAUCCUUCUGUGAAUUUCCUUAUCAUGGUCAGGGUUCCCUGUGAUUAGUUGACCUAGGUAAACCUACUCCUUCACAGGCUCUAGAGGUUGACUUACGAUCCUGAACUCUUGUUCCCUUGCCCGGAUAUUCAUCAUUAUCUUUGUCUUCUGGAUAUUAAUCUUCAACCCCACUCUUACACUCUCCCUGUUAAGGUCUUCAAUCAUUUGUUGUAACUCGUCUGCAGUGUUGCUAAAUAGAACAAUGUCAUCGGCAAACCGAAGGUUGCUGAGGUAUUCGCCGUCGACGCUUACUCCUAAACCUUCCCUGUUUGAAGCUUAAAUACUUCUUCUAAGCACGCAGUGAAUAGCAUUGGAGAGAUUGUGUCUCCUUGUCUGACCUUUCUUUAUAGGUAUCUUCCUACUUUUCUUGUGUAGAAUUAAGGUGGCUGUGGAAUCUCUCUAGAUAUUUUCCAGGGUAUUUACGUAAGCGGUCUGUACUCCUUGAUUAUGUAAUGCCUCUAUGACUGCUGGUAUCUCUACUGAAUCAAAUGCUUUUUCGUAAUCUAUGAAAGCCAUGAGAGGCUUAUUGUACUCUGCGGAUUUCUCGAUAACCUGAUCAAUGACAUGGAUCUGAUUCAUUGUACAGUAUCCCUUCCUGCCGCCGCCUACCGCUCUGUAGUGUAGGCGGUUUGUUCGUGCUCGUCUCUAUUUCUCUCUAUCUCCCCCUUCCGCUCUCUUUCUCUUUUUAUCCCCCUUCGCCCUUUCCCCCGUGCAGGGUAGCCAACCGGAACUGCCUCUGGUUAACCUCCCUUUCUAUGCCUUUCUAUUGCCUUUCUAUGCAUCCUUUUCUCAUUCUCUGAAGCCAGCCUGUUUCCAUUGGUUGACUCAAGUCCAAUGUUGCCAUUAUUCUAUUGGAGAUUAUUUUGGUAAAUAUUUUAUAUAAUACUGGGAGUAAGCUAAUGGGCCUAGAAUUUUUCAGUUCUUUAACGUCUCCCUUUUUGUGGAUUAGUAUAAUGUUUGCAUUCUUCCACUUUUCUUGAACCCUUGUAGUCGAUAGACACUUCGUAUAGAGAGCCGCCAGUUUUCCUAGCAUUAUGUCUCCUCCAUCUUUCUUUAAAUCGACUGUUAUUCCAUCUUCUCCUGCUGCUUUCCCCGUUUCAUGUCUUGCAAGGUCCUUCCGACUUCAUCUUUAGUUAUAAGAGGAGUUUCUGUAUCCUGUUCAUUAUUGUUUCGAAUGGAGUACUCCUGAGUCCUCUGGGUACUGUACAGGUCAGUAUAGAAUGCUUCCGCUGCUUUUAUUAUAGCUUCGAGAUUGCUGAUGAUAUUACCCUGCUUAUCUUUCAGUGCAUACAGCUUGGUUUGUCCCAUGCCAAGUUUUCUUUUCACUAAUUUCAGGCUGUGUCCAUUUUUUACUGCUUCCUCACUCUUUCUCACGAUAUAAUUUUGAAUGUCCCUUAUUUUCUCCUUGAUGAUUAGUUUCUACAGUUCCGUCGAAUUCUAUCUGAUCUCUUGAGUGGAACAUUUUCAUUUUUUGUAAUUUCUUUUUUAGGUCCUUCGUUCCUUGAGAGAUCUUACCCAUUGGUUGCCUUGGUGCUUUAGCUCCCACUUCGAUUGCUGCUUUUGAAGCCAGCCCAAUUACAUUUUAAUUCAUUACCUCUAUGUCAUCUUUAUCUCUUUGUUCUAAGGUUGCAUAUCUGAUUGCAAUUACCAGCUUGAAUUGGUAUGCUUUUACCCUUACUGCCUCUAUUUUAAGCUGUUUUUUCUUGACCAAUUUUACUCUUUCUCUGUUCAAAUUGAGGUGAAUCCUAGCCUUCACUAACCUAUGAUCACUGCACUUUACCCUACCUAUCACUUCUACAUCCUGCACUAUGCUGGGAUCGGCAGAAAGUAUGAAAUUUAAUUUCAUUCCUUGUUUCACCAUUAGGGCUUUUGCAGAUCCACUUCUUGUUGCUACGUUUCCUGAAAAGGGGGUUCGUUAUUCUCAACUUAUUCUUUUCUGCGAAUUCUACCAGCAUCUCUCCUCUAGCGUUUCUAGAAUCGACGCCGUAGUUGCCAAUUGCCUGUUCACCCACCUGCUUUUUCCCCACGUUUGCAUUGAAGUCACCCAUUACUACUGUAUACCGAGUUUGCACUUUGCAAUUGCAAUUCAACAUCUUCAUAAAACUGAUCUACUUCCUCAUCGUCGUGACUGGAUGUUGGAGCGUAGGCUUGUACUACCUUUAAUCUAUACCUAUUAAUAAGUUUGAUUACGACUACUGCUACCCUCUCAUUAAUGCUGUAGAAUUCAUCAAUGUUGCCCGCUAUGUCCUUAUGGAUUAGGAAUCCUACCCCGUAUUGCUUCUUAUCAGGGAGACCUCUAUAGUAGAGGACAUGGCCGUUAUUGAACAAUGUACAAGCCUCACCAGUUCUUCUAAUCUCACUAAGGCCGAUUUAACCGUCACUUUUGCUGCAGGAACCCUUCUUCAGUGGAAGUGUACUCUUGUGCGUCAGCACGUAGCAUCACCGCCCAAAGCAGCGGCUGCCUGCCACAACCUCAUCAUUGCCUCAAGUUCCUGGCGCUUCAGCGGCUGCGCAGGACGGGGCUCCAUCACGUGAGCCCUUCAGCAUCCAGGAGGCGCUGCAUCGGCCGCACCCUGGGCGGCCAGGCUACAUAACCACCAAGGAAUCGACGCCUCUUCGCAGUCGGUGGCGGGCAUUAGGCACGAUUUGACCGUCAGCAUUGCUGCAGUUCCUUUGCUGUUCACCUGGAAUCUUCAACGCUGGCUUUUCCUCGAGGUGCUUCGAAAUGGAUGCGUCCGUUGACCAUGCGCUGCAUUCGAAGCUACAGCCUGUGCCCGCGUAUGAUGGUCUGUGUCCGAACUGCACUGUCACCUACCUACCCGUGUGACAGCUUUGCUGCAGCUGUUCGGGAUUUUUCGGCUGCAUACGCGGCGGUGCCGCAGGCCAUUGCCGUCGAUCGUUAGUUGGGAUGGCUCUUCAGUAAUGAUCAUCACCAUGUGGGUCAUGCCAUAAAUAAAAUAAAGAUAUCGAAGAUGCGAAGUAACUUCAGCCAAGUGGUUAUACCGUGUGUCCCAGCUAACGUUAGCCAAGCUGUUUAAAAAAAAAUCAGAACAUCACGGUGCAAGGUACAAUUAUAAGGCUGACAGUGUUCGGUCGUCAGAGGCCUCACGAACGAACGCUGUAAAUCCUAAAAUCGUAUCUUGCACUGUGUUUUCUAUAUCUCUCUUUUUCUUUUCUUUUUUCUUUUUUUUUUACAGCGAAGCUGUAUAUGACUCGGAUACCUGGAUUUCUUCGUCUCCGUUGACGGAACAUUCGACAGAAAACCAUUCCACGAAUUGAAGCGAAAAGUGCCUAUCUCCAUAGGCAUUGCGCAUGCAAGACACACCUCAGUAUUCGGUUCAGUAAAGGAAAGCAAAAACAAGUAUCAAAACCACGUGAUAGAUGAUGAGGCGCGUUCGAACAAUGCGAAGCACGUAGCGUUCGCCGCAUGCGUUUCCCGGUAAAGAUUGCGGUUGCAUAAGCUGCAGUUGCCGGGAAGCAACAACUGUAGCAUACCAAGCAGGGCGUAACGUCACUACUCUUUCAUCCACGUGUGAAAGAACCCACCUAGCAACUGAUUUCGUUUGUGUUGGGUAGCGCUACGAGUAGGUCACGUAUAGUUGGGACUCCCGAAGAGCAGCGUGAACACGAUGAGCGGCGACGAGAACAGCUAAGUCAAUAUACACAACGACGUCGUGCUCAGGCUAGGCAGGACGCAGCGGUUCCUGCACAAAGCAAGCCGCGCACAGUUAGGGCGCCUUAUACACUGUACCUUUUAGUCAGGUACAUCGUAUUUUAUUGCCUUGCUGUCACUCGUUUCAUGUCGUGCAUUGCUCAAUCGCUCAAGGCUACGUCACAUUGGUCUAUCGGGUCAGGUGAUGCCACGGCUUCGCUGGCCAACU